rnacentral:lncRNA from 1 species
UUAACCCACUGAGCAAGGGCAGGGACCGAACCCGCAACCUCAUGGUUCCUGGUCAGAUUCGUUAACCACGCGCCAGGAUGGGAACUCCCUCUUCCUUCUGAGUUCUAAGGAGGGUUGUUAUGUCACGCUAAGAGGGACACGGGAAGACCCUUUCAAAUGACACACUGCAAACCAGUUUUAGGAGUUUGAGCAUAUAUAGGCUGGGAGAGUCCAGGAGGCAAAAGUACAAUUACCCCACUAUGUUGCUAUCUGCCCAUUUCAUUCAACAGACAGAGAAGAACCAUCGACUCUUAUUUAUCUGUGAGAAUACUCUGCUGUGGAAGAUAAAACAAAGACAACAUAUUUGUAGAACUUGUUCUUGAGAAGCUUAAGUAGCUCACAAAGUCAAAAGAGAAGAAUAAAGAAAGUUUGAUAGAGGCAGUAGCGUUUGAGGCAUUUGCUAAAAAAGGAAUUGUGACAGUAAAGCAUGGAAAAAUGUUAGGAAUUUGACACACAGAGAGCAGUGAGAGCAAGUCACAGAAGCAGGAAAGCAGCCAGUGCUGAGGAAGAACAGAAAAUGACGGAAACUGGAUGUAUCGGCAGUUCUCAAACUUGAUCAGGUUACAAAGCACCUGGAGUUCAUGAUGUUCUCUGCAAAAUAAAAAGCUAUUUGUAGAGCUUUAUAGAAUAAUGAAAUAUUAAUCCCUCUAAAGAAGGAAGAACAAUCUAUGUUUAAGAGCAUACGAGCAAAGACUAGAAUGGAAGAAAUAAUUUAAAUUACAUUAAUGUUCACAUUUUCUACUUUAUUGGAAAAAGAGUACAAUUAUUUGGCUUUUAUGGAGAAAUAUGUUGGUUCUGGUUGUAGAACACCAAUGCUUAGCAGGAGCCUAGCUAUUUCCAGCCUCAUGGCAGCAGAGAUUAGGUACCAAACUUAAUCUUCCACUGAACACAAUGACAAAACUAAAGAAAAUGAAUUUUAAAAUACCCGUCUAAGCUAUGUCCAUGGCCAGAUAAUAAGCAAAUAUUCAGGCCAAAAAUAAAGCCAAAAGAGGAAAACAAAAAUUUCUACUUUUUGCCUUCAGAGUAUUUGGUAAACUGAGUCAAACUUAAGCCUUGGUUUCAGGUCCUCACAAAUCUGGGAAUGAAGAGCAAAGCAUAGGGCCCCCCAACAAGAAAUAUAAUAGGAAACUCCCCAGCAGAGCUGGACCUGAAAGAUGCACACAUUCAGUGCCAGGUAAGCUGGAAAUAAGCUAUCCUUCCCUUCGAGUAAACUCAGUGAAUAUCUGCCAUCUCAAACAUUACUGUGGGGCAAAAACACUCUUUUGAUAACUCUUUUUUGUGUGUGUGUCCAGGCUAGGGGUCUAAUUGGAGCUGCAGCUGGCAGCCUACGCCAGAGCCACAGCAACGGGGGAUAUGAGCCACGUCUGUAACCUGCACCACAGCUCAGAGCAAUGCUGGAUCCUUAACCCACUGAGCAAGGCCAGGGAUCAAACCCACAACCUCAUGGUUCCUAGUCAGAUUCGUUAACCACUGCGCCAUGAUGGGAACUCCCACUCUUUUGAUAACUCUUAAUGACAAGCUAACCCUCAUAAAGAUUUAAAGCCUUUCUUUGCAUGUAGUUGUUUGAGAAAACCUCAAUGCAAGAUUAUAAAAGGGUCUCAUAUUGGUAGUUCCAAUAGAGAAAAAGAAAAACAUCAAAUGCCUCUUAAAGCCACCUUUAUCCCAGUGUUAAAGAAUUCUUACAAAUAAGUUCCAGGAAAAAUAUGCAACUCACAAUCAAAAAUCACCAAAUGAGUAAGGAAACAAAAUACCAUGAGUGAAAGCUGGCAGAUAUAAUGAACAGAUGUAUGAAUCAAUGCUAAUGCUUCAGAUAUUGGAAUUUCAGACACAGAAUAUAAUGUAUUGUAUAUAUUUAAAGUUUCAAAAACUAUUAAUUAAAAAAGAAUUAACAGUUUUGAAAAGAGAAGAAAACAAUUUCUUUUACAGAUCCCAGAGUAAAGGCAGUAUAGAUAUAAAAUGACAUAUUAUGAUGCCAGAAAGAAAAUGCUCAAAACAAUCAUUUGAACAUAUCACAAGGACAUAGGAGUCAGUAUAGAUGCAUCUAAAACUGGCCAAAUCUAGGACAAAUCUAUUAAAAUAAUUAAAUACAGUAAUAAAUUCAAGACUGCUGGAAAAAACAGGUAUUCAUAAAUUUAUAUUGACUAAAUUUAAAAGGAGGGAAAAACAGCUUUUGUUGACAUUAGAAUAAUAAGAACUGGAAGGUUUGGAGAGCAUGGUGGAAUUAAAAAGGACAUCAUCAUUUUACAACCAUCCUGGUAAAGAAUGGGUCAGACUCACAGACUUUGAAAACAAACUUAUGGUUGCCAAAAGGGGACAGGUUUGGGACGGGGCCGGGGGUGGGGAAUGGAGGAUGGACUGGACGUUUGGCAUUGGCAUAUGCACACUGGUGUAUGGAAUGACUGGCCAACGGGGUCCUUUAUAGCAUAGGAAACUCCACCCAAAAAUCUAUGACAAUUUGUAUGGGAAAAGAAUCUAAAAAAGAACGAGUGUGUGAAUAUGUAUAACUGAAUCACUUUGCUGUACAGCUGAAAUCAUCACAACAUUGUAAAUCAACAACAUUUCAAGAAGACUUUAAAAAAUGAAAAAAAAGAAUGGAUCAGGCAAGAAUCAUUAACAAAUGUUAAACACUGGGAGAAAUUUUGAUGAUGAACAGGCUACUUGCAUGAUCUUUUUUUCUUUUAAUUCCUUUUUAUGGCCAUACUUGUGGCAUAUGGAAGUUCCCAGGCUUGGGGUGGAAUUGGAGCUACAACUUCAGACCUAUGCCACAGCCACAGCAACACCCGAUCCAAACUGCAUUGGCAAUGUAUGCUGCAGCUUGAGGCAAUGCUGGAUCCAUAACCCACUGAGUGAGGCCAGGGAUCAAACCCACAUCCUCACAGAGACAGCUUCGGGUUUGUUUUUUGUUGUUUUUUUUUUUUUUUUUUUUUGGUCUUUUUGCCAUUUCUAGGGCCACUCCCUCGGCAUCUGGAGGUUCCCAGGCUAGGGGUCAAGUUGGAAUUGUAGCCACAGGCCUACGCCACAGCCACAGCAAUGUGGGACCAGAGCCGUGUCUUCGACCUACACCACAGUUCACAGCAACACCGGAUCCUUAACCCAGUGAGUAAGGCCAGGGGUUGAACUCACAACCUCAUGGUUCUUAGUUGGAUUCGUUAACCACUGAGCCACAAUGGGAACUCCAGCAUCGGGUUCUUAACCCACUGAGUCACUAUUGGAACUCU